rnacentral:rRNA from 1 species
CUAAUACCCAAUGAUAUCCCACGAAGGCAUCCGAAUGGGAAUUAAAGAAUUUAUCGGUGAUGGAUGGGGAUGCGUCUGAAUUAGCUUGUUGGCGGGGUAACGGCCCACCAAGGCUACGAUCAGUAGGGGUUCUGAGAGGAAGGUCCCCCACAUUUGGAACUGAGACACGGUCCAAACUCCUACGGGAGGCAGCAGUGAGGAAUAUUGGUCAAUGGGCGAGAGCCUGAACCAGCCAAGUAGCGUGCAGGAUGACGGCCCUAUGGGUUGUAAACUGCUUUUAUAAGGGAAUAAAGUGAGUCUCGUGAGACUUUUUGCAUGUACCUUAUGAAUAAGGACCGGCUAAUUCCGUGCCAGCAGCCGCGGUAAUACGGAAGGUCCGGGCGUUAUCCGGAUUUAUUGGGUUUAAAGGGAGCGUAGGCCGGAGAUUAAGCGUGUUGUGAAAUGUUGUGGCUCAACCUCUGCACUGCAGCGCGAACUGGUUCUUCUUGAGUACGCACAACGUGGGCGGAAUUCGUGGUGUAGCGGUGAAAUGCUUAGAUAUCACGAAGGACUCCGAUUGCGAAGGCAGCUCACGGGAGCGCAACUGACGCUGAAGCUCGAAAGUGCGGGUAUCGAACAGGAUUAGAUACCCUGGUAGUCCGCACGGUAAACGAUGGAUGCCCGCUGUUGGCCUGAAUAGGUCAGCGGC